GCUUAACACAUGCAAGUCGUACGAGAAAUCUUCAGCUUGCUGAAGAGAGUAAAGUGGCGCACGGGUGAGUAACGCGUGGGUAAUCUAUCCUUGAAUCGGGGAUAACAUUGCGAAAGCGAUGCUAAUACCGGAUGACAUCAUAAAGGCCUCGGCCUUAAUGAUCAAAGAUGACCUCUACCUGUAAGUUGUUGUUUGAGGAGGAGCCCGCGUACCAUUAGCUUGUUGGUAGGGUAACGGCCUACCAAGGCCACGAUGGUUAGCUGGUCUGAGAGGAUGAUCAGCCACACUGGAACUGACACACGGUCCAGACUCCUACGGGAGGCAGCAGUGAGGAAUUUUGCGCAAUGGGGGAAACCCUGACGCAGCAACGCCGCGUGAGUGAUGAAGGCUUUAGGGUCGUAAAGCUCUGUCAAGUGGGAAGAAGCUAUCCGGUAGUAAUAUGCCCGGGUAUUGACGGUACCACUGAAGGAAGCACCGGCUAACUCCGUG
rnacentral:rRNA from 1 species